rnacentral:rRNA from 1 species
AGCAGCCGCCGCGGUAAAACGUAUGUCACAAGCGUUAUCCGGAUUUAUUGGGCGUAAAGCGCGUCUAGGUGGUUAUGUAAGUCUGAUGCGAAAAUGCAGGGCUCAACUCUGUAUUGCGUUGGAAACUGUGUAACUAGAGUACUGGAGAGGUAAGCGGAACUACAAGUGUAGAGGUGAAAUUCGUAGAUAUUUGUAGGAAUGCCGAUGGGGAAGCCAGCUUACUGGACAGAUACUGACGCUAAAGCGCGAAAGCGUGGGUAGCAAACAGGAUUAGAUACCCCUGUAGUCCCUGUCUCUUAUACA